AUUGAACGCUGGCGGCAGGCCUAACACAUGCAAGUCGAACGGCAACAGGAAACAGCUUGCUGUUUCGCUGACGAGUGGCGGACGGGUGAGUAAUGUCUGGGAAACUGCCUGAUGGAGGGGGAUAACUACUGGAAACGGUAGCUAAUACCGCAUAACGUCGCAAGACCAAAGAGGGGGACCUUCGGGCCUCUUGCCAUCGGAUGUGCCCAGAUAGGAUUAGCUAGUAGGUGGGGUAACGGCUCACCUAGGCGACGAUCCCUAGCUGGUCUGAGAGGAUGACCAGCCACACUGGAACUGAGACACGGUCCAGACUCCUACGGGAGGCAGCAGUGGGGAAUAUUGCACAAUGGGCGCAAGCCUGAUGCAGCCAUGCCGCGUGUAUGAAGAAGGCCUUCGGGUUGUAAAGUACUUUCAGCGGGGAGGAAGGGAGUAAAGUUAAUACCUUUGCUCAUUGACGUUACCCGCAGAAGAAGCACCGGCUAACUCCGUGCCAGCAGCCGCAGUAA
rnacentral:rRNA from 1 species